rnacentral:rRNA from 1 species
GACGAACGCUGGCGGCACGCUUAACACAUGCAAGUCGAACGGAGAACAUUGAGCUUGCUUAAUGUUCUUAGUGGCGGACGGGUGAGUAACACGUGAGUAACCUGCCUCUGAGAGUGGGAUAGCUUCUGGAAACGGAUGGUAAUACCGCAUAACAUCAUGGAUUCGCAUGUUUCUAUGAUCAAAGAUUUAUCGCUUAGAGAUGGACUCGCGUCUGAUUAGCUAGUUGGUAAGGUAACGGCUUACCAAGGCGACGAUCAGUAGCCGGACUGAGAGGUUGAUCGGCCACAUUGGGACUGAGACACGGCCCAG